GGGGCUGUCCAGGGGACUGCUACCUGUAGCGGAAAGAGGGGGAUCUUAAAGCUUGGUAUGGGAGGCAAUCCCACCAGGCCGCUCAAGCCCCAAAGCGGGUUGCCAACAGCAGCCCUUCCCGUUUAGUCUCGUCCCACCCACGUAAGAGUGGACCACGCCCCCUUAGCUGUAGCCCCGCCUCUCUAGACUGUUUUGGUUAUGGAGUCAGCCCAGCUCCCCAUCAGGCCGAUUCUGUCUACAUCUGAGAUGGCCCCGCCCUUCAGGAUCCGUUUGAAUGAGGAGCAGCUGGGACCAGCCGGCUGGGUGGGACGACCGCAAUGGCCCAAGCGAAAUCUAGACCUGGAUUUUUCGGCCACGGAGGCCAGGAUUCCAGAUCCGGGUACACUCGGCCUUCGAGGCAUCCUCCAGACACCUGGGAAGUCCCUCCUAUCACCUAACUCCGAUUUUUCCUGCUGCAGUGACGGAUCAGCUUAUCUUGGUCUCCAACCUCAGGGAUGGUAGGUUAGAGGAGUCCAGAAGUAGACCCUGGAUGAGGGUUUGAAUCUUCCCCUUCUUUGUCCAAGCUCCAGGCUAGGAUGUAGCCUGAGUCUGGAGCCACCUAGGCUUUAUCUACACUCCUCCAGAUUAUGUAGCGUGGGUCUGGGCUCCAAGGAGGAUCAGAAGGACCAGACCCCAGGCAGGCCUUGAGAUGAAGCUUUGAUCAGUUUCCUCGCUGGGGUCAGUUUAGGGACAACAUCGAACCCUCGUAUUAACCCUUAGAAACGCAGUAAGAAGCUAGUAGAAAAGAACUCUUCUCAGCUUCAGAAUCCCCACCCAUCUUGAAGGUGGGAGUUCCUGACGCCUGGAUUUCCCCACACUCCACAAUCCUCAGUGUCCCACUCUGUGCAGUGGACUCACUCCCGCGCCUGCGCAGCCUGGAGACCAGUAUCUCCUAAGGCUGUAA